ACAUGCAAGUCGAACGAAGUAGCAAUACUUAGUGGCAGACGGGUGAGUAACAUGUAGGUAUCUGCCCUUUGGCCUGGAAUAACACGAGGAAACUUGUGCUAAUACCGGAUAAGUCUUUACGGAGAAAGCUUUAUGCACCAUUGGAUGAGCCUGCACUUGAUUAGUUUGUUGGUAGGGUAAUGGCCUACCAAGACUGUGAUCAAUAGCUGAUUUGAGAGGAUGAUCAGCCACAUUGGGACUGAGACACGGCCCAAACUCCUACGGGAGGCAGCAGUGGGGAAUCUUGCACAAUGGAGGAAACUCUGAUGCAGCGAUGCCGCGUGAGUGAAGAAGGCCUUUGGGUUGUAAAGCUCUUUCGUCGGGGAAGAAAAUGACUGUACCCGAAUAAGAAGGUCCGGC
rnacentral:rRNA from 1 species